GGAGGGUGCAAGCGUUAAUCGGAAUUACUGGGCGUAAAGCGCGCGUAGGCGGUUUAGUAAGUCGGAUGUGAAAGCCCUGGGCUCAACCUGGGAAUUGCAUUCGAUACUGCUGAACUAGAGUAUGGUAGAGGGAAGUGGAAUUUCCGGUGUAGCGGUGAAAUGCGUAGAUAUCGGAAGGAACACCAGUGGCGAAGGCGACUUCCUGGGCCAAUACUGACGCUGAGGUGCGAAAGCGUGGGGAGCAAACAGGGAUUAGAUACCCUGGUAGUCCACGCCGUAAACGAUGAGAACUAGAUGUUGGGAGGGUUACCUCUCGGUGUCGCAGCUAACGCGUUAAGUUCUCCGCCUGGGGAGUACGCCGGCAACGGUA
rnacentral:rRNA from 1 species